CCGGAGCUUAUUCUCCCGGUACAGUCAUUAUCUCCCCGGGUAAAAGAGCUUUACAACCCUAAGGCCUUCAUCACUCACGGGGGAUUGCUGGAUCAGGUUUUCGCCCAUUGUCCAAUAUACCCCACUGCUGCCUCGCGGGGGGGUCUGGGCCGUGUCUCAGUCCCAGUGUGGCUGAUCAUCCUCUCAGACCAGAUAAGGAUCGUCGGCUUGGUGAGCCUUUACCUCACCAACUAGCUAAUCCUACGCGGGCUCAUCCCUGGGAGAUAUAUCUUUGGACUUACGUCAUCAUCCGGUAUUA
rnacentral:rRNA from 1 species